GAUGAACGCUGGCGGCGUGCCUAAUACAUGCAAGUCGAGCGAACAGACGAGGAGCUUGCUCCUCUGACGUUAGCGGCGGACGGGUGAGUAACACGUGGAUAACCUACCUAUAAGACUGGGAUAACUUCGGGAAACCGGAGCUAAUACCGGAUAAUAUAUUGAACCGCAUGGUUCAAUAGUGAAAGACGGUUUUGCUGUCACUUAUAGAUGGAUCCGCGCCGCAUUAGCUAGUUGGUAAGGUAACGGCUUACCAAGGCAACGAUGCGUAGCCGACCUGAGAGGGGGAUCGGCCACACUGGAACUGAGACACGGUCCAGACUACUACGGGAGGCAGCAGUAGGGAAUCUGCCGCAAUGGGCGAAAGCCUGACGGAGCAACGCCGCGUGAAUGAUGAAGGUCUUCGGAUCGUAAAACUCUGUUAUUAGGGAAGAACAAAUGUGUAAGUAACUAUGCACGUCUUGACGGUACCUAAUCAGAAAGCCACGGCUAACUACGUG
rnacentral:rRNA from 1 species